UAUGAUUUCUCUUUUCUCAAAACUCAGAAGAGAGAACUAGCAAUUGAUGGAUUUCAACUACCGCAACACAAACGAAUUAAGAUCAAGCUAGGCCUUAUUGUUGGUGGGGGUGGUCAAGCAAUGGCGUUGGUGCCUAUCAUAACCUUUCACGUUUCAAUAAAAGACAGAUCAGGCAAAAGGAGAUGGCCUCAAAUCAACUUCAUACCACAACAUUUUUAAUUUUAGAUCUGCAGGAAUUUAUAAAAUGCAAACGUCAUCAACUGAAGGAGAAGAAAGGAAAACCCUUAGAUCUACAAAAUUACCAUGAAGAACGAUGAAGGAAAGACUCCAGAUUUGCAAAAUCUCAAUGAAGGACCCAAAACAAAAUGAAAUUAAAUGGAGGACCCCAAAAUAAAUAUCCUAAUAUUUGAAUAAUUCAUUAAAUUGAUGAAUUAUAUUUAAUUACGAAUUCAAUUGUUGAUGGGACAUGACUGCAGAUGCAGUAUUGAAACUGGAGUGGGACCCGCGCAUAUAUUUCACACGGAUUUGUUAGGGUGUGUGAAAAUAGCAUUAGCGAUGCCAG